rnacentral:rRNA from 1 species
AUAAUUGUGAUCCUAUGAAGCUGUUAGACGGAUAGCUUGGUUUGAGUUGCGAUGAAGGACGUGGCAAGCUGCGAAAAGUUCAGGGGAGCUGCAUGCGAGCUUUGAUCUUGAAAUAUCCUAAUUCGAGAACGAUUCUUGCAAAAGAAAUUCCGAGAGGAAAGCAAACGCCGUGAAUUGAAACAUCUUAGUAGCGGCAGGAAAAGAAAAUAAAUUAAUGAUGCCCUUAGUAACAGCGAGUGAAAAGGGCAUAGGGCAAACUGAAUCUCCUUUUGAAAAGAAGGCAGAGAUGUGGUGAGAGCUAGAUUCUAAGUGUGAUAUCAAAGUCUUUUGGAAAAAAGCACCAUAGAGAGUGAUAGUCUCGUAGAUUAUAACAUAUGAAUUCUCUUAAUAGAGUAGUGUCUCCCGAUUUGGAGGCAUGAAUACAGCAGGAUUAACUGCUAACCCUAAACAUAAACUCAAGUCCGAUAGCGCACUAGUACCGCGAGGGAAAGCUGAAAAGUACUCUUAACAGAGGGUUAAAAGACUUGAAAUCUAACAGUCACAUGAUUGUUACUGCCGAUCCAUGCAAAUGGAAAGCGGUUGUAACGUACGUUUCGAAAAACGGGUCAGGGAGUUAUUUUUUGUGGCAAGACUAAUGAAAAAGGAGUCGAAGCGAAAGCGAGUUCGAAAGAGCGAGAGUCACAGAGGACAGACCCGAAGCCAGAUGAUCUAAUCGUGGGCAAGGCGAAGUUUCUAGAAAUAGAAAUGGAGGCCUGAACCAGUGUUGUGUGCAUGCACUUGAAUGAUCUGCGAUUAGGGGUGAAAAGCCACUCGAAUCUGGCGAUGGCUGGUUCCAGUUGAAAUAUGCCUCAGUAUAGCCUCAUUUUGUUUGUGUACGAGGUAAAGUACGGAUAAAGUUUGCAGAGACUUUUGUCUACGGAACUUUUUCCAACUCAGAAUUUGUACAUUGCUUAAAAUGAGAAACGGGGGCAGGGCGUAAGGUCCUGUUCCGAGACCCGAACAAGGGAGACUAAAGUUAAGGUCCCAAAAUAUAUGCUAAGUGUAUCAAAAGGCGUCUUAAACCUGAGACACUAGGGAGGUAGGCUUAGAAGCAGCCACCCUUUAAAGAAAGCGUAACAGCUCACCUAUUGAGGUUUGAGGCCCUGAAAAUGGACGGGGCUAAGCAUAUUACCGAUACUUUAGAGGCACUCAGAUGAGUGUUCUGGUAAACUGGCGUCUUUUUUGCGCAGAAGUUUCUUCGAGAGAAGGGAUGGAGCGAAAAGGAAUGCAAAUCCUGGCUGAAGUAGGAUCAAAUUUUUCCGAGAAUGAAAAAGGUCGAAAGAACGCGGUUUCCUCGGCACUAAUCGUUAACCGAGGGUUAGUCAGCGCCUAAGACAAAUCUUAACUGAGUUUGUCGAUGGACAUCAGGUUAAUAUUCCUGAACUGGCUUAAUUUGUCAUGCUAUAGAAUCGCUUCCGGAUAAGCAAGUUUCCGAAAGGAAAUUUAGCAAAGAAAUUUAUGGAUCGUAAUGAUAAGAAGUAAAAGAAUUUGCUAAUGAGAAUUGCUGGUUCCAGGAGCCAGUGAAAAGUUUUAUAGAUAGAAUUAAGUUAGCUGUACCUAGAUCCAACACAGGUGUUCUAGCUGAGAAGGCUAAGACCUGAAAGGUAUAACCUGGUUAAGGGAAUUCGGCAUACUAGCCCUGUAUCUUCGGUAGAAAGGGUGUCUAUAUUUGUCUUUGAUAUUAGAAGGCAUUUGUAGAUCUCAGUAACAAGGACUGCCCGACUGUUUACCAAAAACAUAGCCGAGUGCGAAUCCGAAAGGAUGUGUAUACUCGGUGAGACCUGUCCAGUGGUGGUGUCUGAAACUCCUUUUCAAGGGAGCUAAUGCCCAUUAAACGGCGGGCCUAACUAUGAGGCUUGGCUUUAUAAUAAUUUAAGGGCCUCAAUAAACUCGACUAUAUGCUGGAACUCCUUAAUAAUUGUAAUAAAAUUAUUUAAGUUGCAUUUUACUCUUUUGAGUGAAAAUGAAUGCAGCGCAAGGACAAUCAGCAGGGAAGAAUUUAGAAUUAAAUGAAGAAAUCUUUCAUCAUCUUGCAGGUUUUGUCGAUGGAGAAGGAGCUUUUCCUGUACAAACAAGAAAAACCCCGUGGACAAAAUUUGGGUUUACAAUAACUCCAGAAUUUAAAAUAAGUCAACAUAAAGAUAAUGGCGAAAUUUUAGGAAUAUUGCAAAAAGCAUUAGAUUGUGGAAAGAUUUCAAUAAAAUCUGGACAACCAAAUCAAUUAGUUUUGGUUGAAAAGAGCAGAAAGAAUAUUACUGAAAAAGUAAUUCCUUUCUUUCAAAAAUAUCCUUUAAUUGUAAAACAAAGACAAUUUCAAAUUUUUUCUGAAAUUGUGAAAAAGCUCAAUAAUAAUGAGCAGUUUACAAAAGAAGGAUUUGAAAAUAUACUAGAAUUAGUUUUUCAAAAAAAUAAAGAAAGUAAAGGAAAAAGAAAAUAUUCUAAAGAUGAAAUUCUAAAUAACCCUCAGAGACUGAACGUCGAGGCUAAUAAUAAACUUUAAAUAUUAGCAUGUUACAGUCCGACUCUUACAGUAAUGUAAGUCAGUAAGCUUAAGGUAAACUACGCAUUGCCUUAGUAAAAUCUAGCUAUAUGCUGGAAAGUCUGAGAAUCUCAUGUUACGACGAUAAAAUUAAACCAUAAGUUUUUAAUUUUAGUUCGCGUGAAAAUACAAUGAGUGCAGACAAUCAGCAGGAAAGACUGGAAAGUUCAUGGAUUGUUGGUUUUACAGAUGGAGAAGGAUGUUUCCAUAUUUCCAUUAAUAAAAUUCCUGAAAUGACUUUGGGAUGGCAAGUUCUUCCUGAAUUUAGAGUUGUUCAACAUGAAAAAGAUGAAUAUGUUUUACAUCAAAUAAAAAACUAUUUUGGUUUUGGAGAUGUAAAAAUAAAUAGAAAAGACUUUCAUGGAACAAGAAAAGAAUUUAGAGUAAGGGGUUUAGAAAAUCUAAAUAAAAUAGUUGAAUUUUUUAAAUUAAAUAAAUUAAAUACUUCAAAAAGAAAAGAUUUUGAAAUCUUUUCUGAAGUUAUUGAUUUAAUGAAUAAAAAACAACAUCUUACUAAAGAAGGACUUGAUAAAAUUGCUAAAUUAAUUUCAGAAAUGAAUCGUAAACCAAAAUUGAACUAUUUAGAAUCCUCAGAGACUAUACGCUAGACUUCAUUAUUAUAUGAAGAAGAUAUAGUCCGAACUGAAUAGCGAUAUUCAGAGCAUUGUAGAAAUGUAAUGCCUUGUUCCUUAGAAUAUAAAAGUUUAAAUAUAAGAACAUUAAUAAAAAGUUAUGAAAAAUCAUCAAUAUUCAUUUCAAGAAGUUGGAGAAAUGAUAAUGUGGUAUUCUAUGUUUGUAGACAGUAUACCAAUCAUAAAAGAUGAUUCUAAGUAUGGUCAUGAAGAGAGUGUUAACUUAAUUAUUAGUAAAAUAGAAGAAAUUCCUGUAGAAAUAAGGAGAGAAUUGCCUUGGACUAAAGGUGAUAAUUUAGAAAGACUUAAAAAACAAAACCUUGAAAAACUAACAAGAAAAAGUUUUUAGUCAAAAUAUAAAUAAUUCUAAGAACAUUGUAACAUAAUUGAGCGUAAUGCCUUGUCGUCUGAAUGGCGACGUGCAUGAAUGGUUUAACGAGGUAGUCACUGUCCCUAACCAGAACCUUCUGAACUAACUGACCGGUGAAAAUGCCGGUGUCACCUAGUGGGAAGCUAAGACCUUGUGGAACUUUACUGCAGCUUGUUGUUGUAGCUUUUUGAAGAAUACAUAGAAUAAGUAGGAGCGUCGAACCCUAGCUUCGGCAAAGGGGGAGCAAAAGUGUAAUACUACUUAUUGUUUAAGAAGUUGCUAACUCUCAAUGAGGACAGCAGCAUGUGGGCAGUUUGGCUGGGGCGGCACCCUGUAGAAAAUAUAUCUAUAGGGCACAAAGAUAAGCUCAUCCAGGGUGGAAAUCUGGAGUUGAGUGCAAGAGCAAAAGCUUAUCUAACUGUAUCUCUAACAGUAAAGGAUGCAGAGACGAAAGUCGGUUCUAGCGAACAUUUGAUAAUCUUUAAUAGAUUACAAAUAUGACAGAAAAGUUACAUCGCUGUCGGCUCUUCCUAACCUGGUGGUGCAUAAGCCACCAAGGGUGCUGGAGUUCACAUAUUAAAAGGGAUCGUUAGCUGGGUUAAGAACGUCAACAUUUGCAGCUAACGAUUGAGAAAUCAAGAGCACGAAAUUUACACGGCGUUGCAUAGCAGCAAUGUUAUGAAAAAUAAAAUCAGCUCAUAUCGGUGAAACCUAAAAUCUUUAAAAAAUAAAGAUAUGGCAAUACCGAGGGAAGAUGAUAAUUAUGAAUGCAAUCAUACUUUCAAUAAACUUAUUAUUGCAUUAAUUAAAAUAAUUAUUUAUCCCCGUAGAGACUUAGAGUUUAAAACUCUGGAGUUCUGCUAAUUAAAAAUGCAGAGCUAAGACGCUGAUCUCCUUUGAAAAAAGCAAAGGAUGAAGGUAUAGUCCAUACCAAUUGAAAAAUUGGAGUUAUAUACGUGAGACAGUUUGUAUGAUAUCUACUAGGUGUGUUGUUGUCUGAGUGGAACGAGUCAGUAGUACGAGAGGAACCUGACUUGGAUGCCUCUGGUGUAGCAGUUGUUACGAGCAAGCUGCGCAGCUACGCAUUGUAUGGAUAAGUGCUGAAAGCAUCUAAGCACGAAGCCAACCGCAAAACGAGACAACUUAGGCCGUUGAAGAAGACAACGUUGAUAGAACUGGAGUGUAAGCACGAAGGCAACGACGUGUUCAGCUCGCAGUCACUAAAAGCCACAUUUCACAAUUAU